CAGGAUGUUGGUUAACUCUGGAAUGGAUAACUGGUGAACCUGUGGAGACACCCAUAUUCUGCCUCUAGAGCACAUACUUCUUUAUAUGCCCAUAUUGAAUCACGUGGCUAUGGAAUGUUAAGAAGUAUGUAAUUUGAGGGUGGGUUCUCAGCUGGAGAAGAAUGGCUGGAUACUCAACUACUGCUAAAGGGAAACACUGCGAAAUGGUGGGCUAAAGGAUGAACCUGUGAAGCAAUGGCAUGAAAGCAUGAUCAGCAAUACACAUCAACAGAAAUCAGUCACCAGUGCUUCUCGCAGGCAAGCGUUAAAUCCUUCACCAGAAGGUGUCUAUAAGAACUAACUAUCGAUAUCACUGUUAUAAAAGACUAAGCAAACAGUGUUCAGUAUAAAUUACUAGAUAGCGCAAUGAAUACAUUUGUUUACCUAUAAUGAACAUAACAGGUUGCAUAGUUAAAGGAACAAUGUAAGCACCAUAACCACUACAGCUUACUGUAUGGCUUUGGUGACAGGAGUGCCCUGGCACUACACCCAUAGUAAGCAGUCAUAUCAUUUUAGAAUGGAUGACAAAAUGAGUCCUGCUGGCCAUGUGGCUAUUGCAUGAAAAACCUGGAUACAGCAUGGGGACUAAGUUGUCAAAUCAUACUUGAACGAUUUGACUGCUUACAGUGCGACAACACCAAGACACAACUGGCACCAUAACCACUACAUCAGGCUUGGAGAGAGACUUUUUUCUAGGAAACCUAUUUAUAACAGGCCAAGGAGUGUUAAUUUCACUUCAGUGGUUUGACUUUUUUUGAACAUCAGGCUUUCUUUCAAAAUAUUUUAUGCACACACAAUAUAUAUUUAUUACAAAGAACCUGAGAACAAAAGAUGAACUGCCUGGCUGCAGCUGGUGAAAAGGAACCACAUCAACCCUGCACAGGAUUUGGUCCCCUUCAACCAGCCGCAACUGGGUAGGCUAAGGCCUGCUUGAAUACCUUGACAAUCACAUGCAAUAUUCUGUAUACAGC